UGAGCGCGAUGAAACCCUAGAUCUAAGUUCAACUGAUCAGCGAUGAACCCGAUCACCCCUCCGCUUGCCGCGAAUCGCCCUCAUUCUCUCGCAGUGAAUCCAGGAUCGAGCAUUUGGUGAUUUAUGAAAUACAGUGCUUUCAAGAAUUGGACAUUGAAAUGGUUCAGAUCCAAUUAAUUGAUUCGUCCAUCUUCAAUCAGUUAUCUAGGGUUCUGUUGUCCCGUAUUCAGGUGACAGAUCCAGUAGCAAGGUAUUACGGGCUGAAGCGUGGACAAGUUGUGAAGAUUUGAUUGGGUACUCACAGGAUUAGACCUUUGUAGCCACUUUUGGUGGCGUUCAGUUGCCUCGUAUCCUGCAACUUCCUCUGAAAGUCCUUGUUAUUUGGGGGAAGUGCAAUGUUUAGAAUCCAAGUUCAGACUUUAUCUUAAUUUUCUUUCCUCUCAUUAUCAUUUGUAGAAAUUGAUGAAA